rnacentral:rRNA from 1 species
UACAGAGGUCUCAAGCGUUGCUCGGAAUCACUGGGCGUAAAGGGCGCGUAGGCGGGAUGGCAAGUCGGUCGUGAAAUCCUUCGGCUCAACCGAAGAACGUCGGCCGAUACUGCCGUUCUUGAGGGAUGCAGAGGAGAUUGGAAUUCCCGGUGGAGCGGUGAAAUGCGUUGAUAUCGGAAGGAACGCCGGUGGCGAAAGCGACGGACUGGAUCUCUUCUGACGCUGAGGCGCGAAAGCCAGGGGAGCAAACGGG